rnacentral:tRNA from 1 species
GCUUCAUUAGUUUAAAUUUCCAAACAAAGAAGUUGUAAUUCUUAGAUACCUGUGAUGGUAUGAAGCU